AUGCCGGAGCCCAUCCCUCUCAUUGACCUUAGCCGGCUCAUGGACGCCGACGAGGCUGACAAGCUCCGGGCGGCUCUACAGACCUGGGGCUUCUUCCUGGCCACCAAUCAUGGGAUCGAGGAUUCUCUCAUGGAUGCAAUGAUCAGCGCGUCAAGGGAGUUUUUCCGUCAACCGUCCGAAGAGAAGCAGAAAUGCAACAACCUGGUGGACGGCAACGGCAAGCACUACCAGGUGGAAGGGUAUGGCAGUGACAAAGUCGUUUCCGAGGAUCAGGGCCUGAACUGGAACGACCGGUUGCAUCUGAGAGUAGAGCCGGAAGAUGAGAGGAAUUUUGCUAAGUGGCCCAGUCACCCGGAAUCUUUCAGGGAUGUGCUAAAUGAGUACGCAUCAAAAACCAAGAAACUAAGAGACCUUGUCUUGCGAUCAAUAGCCAAGCUCUUGGAGAUUGAUGAGGAUCACUUCGUCAACCAGAUAUCAAACAAGGCUUCCGGGUUUGCCAGACUCUACUACUACCCUCCAUGUCCGAGACCUGACCUAGUUUUGGGCCUCAGGCCUCACUCUGAUGGUAAUCUCCUUACCAUCCUUUUUGUCGACGACAAUGUUGGUGGCUUGCAAGUUCAGAGAGAUGGGAAAUGGUACAAUGUUCCAGCCAAGCCUCACACACUGGUGAUCAACUUGGGAGACUGCCUGGAGAUAAUGAACAACGGAAUCUUUAGGAGCCCGGUUCACAGAGUGGUGACGAACACCGAGAAGGAGAGGCUUUCGCUGGCCGUGUUCUAUGCCGUGGAUGAAGAAACAGUGCUGGAGCCAGCGCCCGGUUUGCUGGAUGACAAGCGACCACCAAGAUACAGGAAAAUGAUGACCAAGGAUUUCGUGGCUGGGCUCUAUGAACAUUUCCGUCAAGGGAAGAGAUUCGUCGACACCCUGAAGAUAUAA
rnacentral:rRNA from 1 species